AAAAAAAAAACUAAAGUAGUAAUAGAUAUAUCUUAAAACUUAAAAAAUUUGGCGGUAUUUUAAUCUAUUCAGAGGAACUUGUUUUAUAAUUGAUAAUUCUCAUUGAAUCUUACUUAAUUUUUUUAAUUUGUAUAUCGUCGUCAUAAAAAUAUUUUUAAAGAAUAAAUUUUUAAAUAAUUAAUUUAUUUAAUAUGUCAGAUCAAGAUGCAGUUUAUAUUUAAGUAAAAAUUAGUUACAAUAAAUUUAUUUAUUAUGGAUUAGUAAUUGAAAUUUUAUUAUAAAAGUGGAUUUGAUAGUAAGUUUAUAGAGAUUAGUAAAUUGAUUUUAGUUUUAAAAUGUGU
rnacentral:rRNA from 1 species